rnacentral:rRNA from 1 species
UCGCCUCUUGCAAAACUAAUGAAUAAGAGGUCCCGCCUGCCCUGUGACUAUAAGUUUAACGGCCGCGGUAUUUUGACCGUGCGAAGGUAGCGCAAUCACUUGUCUUUUAAAUGGAGACCUGUAUGAAUGGCACAACGAGGGCUUAACUGUCUCCUCUUUCCAGUCAAUGAAAUUGAUCUCCCCGUGCAGAAGCGGGGAUAGCCUCAUAAGACGAGAAGACCCUAUGGAGCUUUAGACACCAAGGCAGCCCAUGUUAAAUACCCCUAAACAAAGGGCCAAACCAGAUGGCCCCUGCCCUAAUGUCUUUGGUUGGGGCGACCGCGGGGAAACACAAAACCCCCACGUGGAAUGGGAGCACCCCUCCUACAACUUAGAGCUUCCGCUCUAGUGAACAGAAUUUCUGACCAAUAAGAUCCGGCAACGCCGAUCAACGGACCGAGUUACCCUAGGGAUAACAGCGCAAUCCCCUUUUAGAGCCCAUAUCGACAAGGGGGUUUACGACCUCGAUGUUGGAUCAGGACAUCCUAAUGGUGCAGCCGCUAU